rnacentral:piRNA from 1 species
UCCUUUUGGGGGUACCAACUCAGAUUGGA